rnacentral:rRNA from 1 species
UGGUCUUGACAUACACGGAACUUUCCAGAGAUGGAUUGGUGCCUUCGGGAACCGUGAUACAGGUGCUGCAUGGCUGUCGUCAGCUCGUGUCGUGAGAUGUUGGGUUAAGUCCCGUAACGAGCGCAACCCUUAUCCUUAUUUGCCAGCACAUCAUGGUGGGAACUAUAAGGAGACUGCCGGUGAUAAACCGGAGGAAGGCGGGGACGACGUCAAGUCAUCAUGGCCCUUACGACCAGGGCUACACACGUGCUACAAUGGGAAGGACAAAGGGUUGCUAAGCCGCGAGGUGGUGCUAAUCUCAUAAACCUUUUCGUAGUCCGGAUCGGAGUCUGCAACUCGACUCCGUGAAGUCGGAAUCGCUAGUAAUCGUAGAUCAGAACGCUACGGUGAAUACGUUCCCGGGUCU